UACGGGGGGGCAAGCGUUGUUCGGAAUUACUGGGCGUAAAGGGCUCGUAGGUGGCCAACUAAGUCAGACGUGAAAUCCCUCGGCUUAACCGGGGAACUGCGUCUGAUACUGGACGGCUUGAGUUUGGGAGAGGGACGCGGAAUUCCAGGUGUAGCGGUGAAAUGCGUAGAUAUCUGGAGGAACACCGGUGGCGAAGGCGGCGUCCUGGACCAACACUGACACUGAGGAGCGAAAGCCAGGGGAGCAAACGGG
rnacentral:rRNA from 1 species